UUCUCGAAGAAAAUUUAAAAG
rnacentral:piRNA from 1 species